rnacentral:rRNA from 1 species
UACGAAGGGGCUAGCGUUGCUCGGAAUCACUGGGCGUAAAGGGUGCGUAGGCGGGUCUUUAAGUCAGAGGUGAAAUCCUGGAGCUCAACUCCAGAACUGCCUUUGAUACUGAGGAUCUUGAGUAUGGGAGAGGUGAGUGGAACUGCGAGUGUAGAGGUGAAAUUCGUAGAUAUUCGGAGGAACACCAGUGGCGAAGGCGGCUUACUGGUCCAUUACUGACGCUGAGGUGCGAAAGCGUGGGGAGCAAACAGG